UCUCUCUUUCACUCUCACAGUAUUUCUGCAGCUGCUCCGCGUCUCACUCCACCGCUAAUUUUCCCGCAUUUUCUCUUCCAACCCCAAACCUCGAGCCGAACGGGCCUUAGCAGAAUCUUUUGAUCAUAUCACUCUUUCGAAUCACAUUCUCUCGUCGUUUUGCAUCGUAACGCAAUUCGCUGCUUCUUUGACCCAUUUCAUCAUAGUUUUCUUCGAAUUUUAACCCUCAAAUCUCAGAGCCAACUGAGACUUUCCUUCCAAAUUCGAUCAGUUUUCCCUUCGAUUAGUUCUUCAAUUUCGGCUCUGAGCUUUGAUUCUUUACUCUUUUCCAAAAAGGGAAAAUAAAGAAAAGAAAAGCUGAUAUGAAGUAUCGAUGAGCUGAGGGAAAGUGGGUGAUUUAGGGUUUGGUGGUGUUAAAUGAGGCAAUGUGUGUGCUUAGGUGUAUGCGUAGGAGUAUGAGGCAGCAAUGGGUGGGGUUAUGUUAGGGAAAGGAAGUAAUUGAUUUCUAGCGGCGAAAAUGACUGCAGCCGAACAGUCGAGGCCAGGGCCUGUGGAGAGAGAGAUUGAGUUGGCUAUCACUGCUCUUAAAAAAGGAGCCCAAUUACUCAAGUAUGGACGUAGAGGGAAACCCAAAUUUUGCCCCUUCAGACUGGCCAAUGAUGAAUCUGCUCUAAUAUGGUUGUCAGGAAAAGAGGAGAAGCAUCUUAAACUGAGUCAUGUCUCCAGAAUUAUAUCUGGACAGCGUACACCAAUAUUUCAGAGAUAUCCUCGCCCGGAGAAAGAAUACCAGUCAUUUUCUCUCAUAUAUAGUGAUAGGUCUUUAGAUUUGAUUUGCAAGGACAAAGAUGAAGCUGAAGUCUGGAUUACUGGUCUAAAAGCCCUAAUAUCACGCAACCAUCUUAGGAAAGGGAGAGCAGAUUCCAGAAGUGAAGGAAUCUCAUCAGAAGCCACUAGUCCUAGAGCACACACCCAAAGAAGUUCUCCUUUGAGUUCUGCAUUUGGUAGUGGUGACAGUUCACAGAAGGAUGACAUGGAUCCCCUACGUCUUCGUACUCCAUAUGAUAGUCCUCCUAAAGCUGGUUUAGAAAAGGCAUUAUCUGAUGUGGAAUUAUAUGCUGUGGCUCCCAAGGUUUUAUAUCCAUCUGAAUCUGCUUGUGGCUCAGUUCAUUCUGUGUCAUCAGGAGGCUCAGAAGCAAUGAACGGGCGUCUAAAGGGUAUGAGUGUGGAUGCUUUUAGAGUUAGUUUAUCAAGUGCGGUGAGCUCAUCGAGUCAAGGUUCUGGUCAUGAUGAUAGCGAUGCAUUAGGGGAUGUUUACAUUUGGGGAGAAGGCACAGGUGAUGGUAUUAUAGGUGGGGGAGUGCAUGGAGUUGGAGGUUCUGGUGUAAGGAUGGAUUCUUUUCUUCCAAAAGCCUUGGAAUCUGCUGUCCUAUUGGAUGUUCAGACUAUAGCAUGUGGUCGUCGACAUGCUGCUUUGGUAACAAAACAGGGGGAGGUUUUCUCUUGGGGAGAGGAACUUGGAGGCAGAGUUGGGCAUGGUGUUGACUCUGAUGUCUUGCAUCCCAAGCUUGUAGAUGGUCUAAAAAAUAUCAAUGUUGAACUUGUGGCAUGUGGAGAGUACCAUUCUUGUGCAGUAACACUUUCAGGAGAUUUAUACAUAUGGGGUGGUAGUUCUCACAACUUUGGGCGUCUUGGAUAUGGAAAAGAAGCUAGUAAUUGGGUUCCAAAAAAGUUAAAUGGACCUCUAGAGGGAAUACAUGUCUCAUCAGUCUCAUGUGGACCAUGGCAUACAGCUGUUGUAACUUCUGCUGGGCAAUUGUUUACUUUU
rnacentral:misc_RNA from 1 species